UAGGGAAUCUUCGGCAAUGGACGAAAGUCUGACCGAGCAACGCCACGUGAGUGAAGAAGGUUUUCGGAUCGUAAAACUCUGUUGUUAGAGAAGAACAAGGACGUUAGUAACUGAACGUCCCCUGACGGUAUCUAACCAGAAAGCCACGGCUAACUACGUGCCAGCAGCCGCGGUAAUACGUAGGUGGCAAGCGUUGUCCGGAUUUAUUGGGCGUAAAGCGAGCGCAGGCGGUUUCUUAAGUCUGAUGUGAAAGCCCCCGGCUCAACCGGGGAGGGUCAUUGGAAACUGGGAGACUUGAGUGCAGAAGAGGAGAGUGGAAUUCCAUGUGUAGCGGUGAAAUGCGUGGAUAUAUGGAGGAACACCAGUGGCGAAGGCGGCUCUCUGGUCUGUAACUGACGCUGAGGCUCGAAAGCGUGGGGAGCAAACAGG
rnacentral:rRNA from 1 species